rnacentral:lncRNA from 1 species
AGUUUCCCUGCAUAAGCUCUCUUUCUUUCCCUGCCACCAUCCACGUAAGAUGUGACUUGCUCCUUCUUGCCUUCCACCGUGAUUGUAAGGCCUCCCCAGCAAUAUGGAACUGAACUAAACUACACAUGGGACCUGGCUUCACCUGUCAUUUUCUGCUUCUUGGCCUCUGCUGUACUGAAAGACAAGCUGGUCAGGGGUUGGAUGAGCCUUAAGCAAAGCAGCCCAUGGUCUCUGCCGCAUCCUCUCCAGUCUAGAAACUCACAGAUGAAGAUGGCAUUCACCUGUCUGCGAGGAGCUCCUAGUUCAGCUCAGCAAAGAGGAGGACCUGAACUUCCAAGGCCAACUUGACUGGAAACCCUCUAGUCUUUAAUCCAUAGAAACCUGACUUCUGUGCCCCCCAUGCCUAGAAAACUACUUUUAAAAAGAACAUUAGUGGUCACCACGUUGGUAAAGUAUUAAUAAAUAAACAUGUUUUAGUUCUAAUCAUACU